UCGUGGUUUGAGCUGUCAGCUUGAUUGCGGUGACCGGGCGAGACCGCAGCCUGCUAAAUAGAACAGCUUGCUCCGGCAGGCUGCCGUCUUCUUAGAGGGACUUUUGGCUUUGAGCCAAAGGAAGUAUGCGGCAAUAACA
rnacentral:rRNA from 1 species